GCUGGCCUUCUGCUUAUUUUUCAGUCAUGAAUCUGACACGUGUCUUACUGCAUAUAGGCAAUUGUACCCACCCGGAGGGAGACUGUUACCCAGUGGAAUUCCUGGGCCAAUGGCUGGAGGGUUUCCAAGUAAUGCUGUUGAGAUGGGCACUCCUCAAGGAACAUUUCUUGAUGACCUCUCCCCAAGACUAGGUGCGAUGUGACCAGCUGCCUGGUGCCCUGCUGCUGUGACUUCCCACCGUGAGGGACCUGGCUGGUCAAUGAGGCACCAAAACAAACGCUUUCUUCCUGAAGUUGUUUUUGUCAGAGUCUCAUCACAGUAACUAAUGAAGUACAGAACCCGGAAUAUCAACCUGGAUCCUCUGUGAACUUGACCUUCAACUUGCCCUUGAGUCCUUCAUGAGAAACCAGUCCUUUCCUCUCCCUUCUCUACCUCCCUCAAUUUAUUGAAUUUCUUCUAUGUGCUAGGAGCUGGGGACACAGUGGUAACCCAUGAGUCAAACACUGUCUCUCUUCCUUCCAUGAUAAAUUACAGGGUCAGAGAUGAUGUGGUCAGCACUGUGGACUCCAGAGAGUUUUGAGAAUGUGCCCAGAUUUGCCCUGGCCUAGGGUAGUAGUCAGGAGAAUGGCAGUUGCUAUGGGGUCCCCUUCCAGGCUGCUCCCACACCAGCACUGGUUCUGCUUUCUCUAUGGAAGCUCUUUGCCCUGUGCACACUAGCGCCUUCUAGAGAGGGCUUCCUGGGGGGCAGCAUCUGAGGGGGCAACCUUUUUCCUCCAAUUUUUUUCUCCCUCACAACCUCCCCUUUUUAAAAAUAUUUUUUUCCUGAGAUUAGGGGUCAUCCAUAAGGAUCACAAGGUUGUGUGUGAUAGCACUGAGGAGUUACAAGGCAGUAUCCUUUCCUCUAACGGCCAAAGCCAGCACCGAGGCACUAGCCUCUGCUAGCCGAGAGCAGCUGGAUUUCCACCACCGGUAAGUGAUCCAUCAACUGGAUGACUUUGUGCAGUGCCCAACUGUCCAUGUGACUGAAGCAAGCCUGGACAUUCAACUUCUGAACCCAGCUUGAAGAAGGCCAGGGACAGAAGAUAAGAAAAGCCCCACUGAGAAGCCUUGACAAGCAAACUGUUCAGUUUUCCUGUCUCCUAAGGUCACUAUCUGCUUUCAAAUGACCCUUUCAGUGACUGCCAGGAUCUAAUCCCCUUGGUCCCCAGCAUUUUUGAUCUGUGUUCCAAGAGUUGCAGCCCAGGGCCAUGCUGAAGGUUAAUGUGGGAAGAUCAUUCACAGUGAAGCAACAACAUGUUGACCCAUGUGCUCAGGCCAGGGACAAAUAUCUAGGGGCUGCCAGAUCCAGAGACCAAGCAGAUGAAGUGGUGAGGGAGUCUGGAAUGGAUGGCAAAGUCCAGAGUCUGCAGGGUCAUGGCCACUCCCUAGCCUGGGUAUGGUUCCCACACAUGGAUGUCUCCUUGGCUGGCAUUACUUCUUUCUGGGCAUGUGCCUGAUGCAGUUGCAGGGGCUCUGCUGCUUGGAAGGGUAGGGCCCACUCGACUGGUCCUCUGUUGUCUGAGAUUCUUGGUAAUUUUCGGACAAGAGGCUUACACGUGGCCUCCAGUGGAAAGGUCCAGAAAGGCACCCACCUACUCCUGCAGGAUACUUGGAGUUUGUCAUUUCUACCAGGGUUGAAGUGCAUGGGAGUGAAUUCACUUGCCCUUUCUAGUUCCCAGAUGGAGAACUGAGAACUGAAGGGGAGGAAUGCAUCUAAGAUACUGAUUUUUACAUGAGACAAUACCAAAUGUGUGUUUUUAUCUUCGCUUUACAUGACAGGAAACUGAGGUCUGAAGUUCAGCCAGCCUGUGAGGAUGUUUGACGUCACAUUCCCUGAUUUCCAAGGAAUGUCAACUCCUAAGCUGUUUCCUCUCCUGCACUGGGGGCAGGUGCUGGGGACUUUAGGUGAAGAUGCAGUAUGCCUGGCCUGAGCACUGCUUUCUGAUUGCAAAGAUCCCAGGGCAGCUCUGUCCUGCUGCUUUUUGCUGAUGGGCCCUGAGCCUCAGUGUUCUGAAUUGUGAAAUGGGGACGAGGGUAGAUCUCACUUGUGGAUGCUAGUGAAGUUUGCUUUAGGAAAAUGGGUGGAUAAUGUGGCUAUGUGUCAGGCAUGUGGAGUCCAGAAAGCUUCAGGACCAAAGACCAUACGAGGGAGCUCCGGCAGGCAUGGAGGCAGUGGCUGUCCCUGCCAAGUGGCUGCAGAUGCUCUGGGCGGGGAGCAUAGAACUGCAGCUGGGAGACUGUUCUUCUUCCUUCUCUUUUUUCUUCUUGUUUUUUCUUGCAUUUUGUGAAGUGGCAUCUGUCAGUGUUAUAGGUAGGAACACUGCAUGGACUGAGCCCCCUGGAGACUCAGCCCAGAACUCAGAAAGAUGAUGGACGAUGCAGAGUGAAUUGAACACAAUUCUAACAACAGAGCAACGCUGGCACACAGCCUACA